rnacentral:rRNA from 1 species
UACGUAGGUGGCAAGCGUUUGUCCGGAUUUAUUGGGUUUAAAGGGUGCGUAGGCGGUCUUCUAAGUCAGUUGUGAAAUACGGCAGCUUAACUGUCGAGGUGCAAUUGAUACUGGGAGACUUGAGUACUGAUGAGGUAGGCGGAAUGGACGGUGUAGCGGUGAAAUGCUUAGAUAUCGUCCAGAACACCGAUAGCGAAGGCAGCUUACUAAGGAGUAACUGACGCUGAGGCACGAAAGUGUGGGGAUCAAACAGG